rnacentral:misc_RNA from 1 species
UCAAACUUGGUCAUUUAGAGGAAGUAAAAGUCGUAACAAGGUCUCCGUUGGUGAACCAGCGGAGGGAUCAUUACCGAGUCACGUGCUCAAACAACCCUUCUGUGGACCUAAAUUAAAACCGUUGCCUCGGCGGGCGACCCCACCUGCGGGCCGAACAGUUCCGGGCCGCUGCCUCAGACGCGCUCUGAGGCACGCGUGCCUGGGCGCCAGCCGCUGGCCCCAAACAACCAAAACUCUAGUAACCUUACCUUCUGAGUUAAAAUGCAAAAAUAAGUCAAAACUUUCAACAACGGAUCUCUUGGCUCUGGCAUCGAUGAAGAACGCAGC